rnacentral:rRNA from 1 species
GACGUAGGGCGCGAGCGUUGUCCGGAUUUAUUGGGCGUAAAGAGCUCGUAGGCGGCUUGUUGCGUCGACUGUGAAAACCCGCGGCUUAACCGCGGGCUUGCAGUUGAUACGGGCAGGCUAGAGUUCGGUAGGGGAGACUGGAAUUCCUGGUGUAGCGGUGAAAUGCGCAGAUAUCAGGAGGAACACCAGUGGCGAAGGCGACUUUCUGGCCUGUUCUUGACGCUGAGGCGCGAAAGCUAGGGGAGCAAACGGG